UCUGUUUUUGUUCCCCAAGUCUUACACUGC
rnacentral:piRNA from 1 species